rnacentral:rRNA from 1 species
UGGGGAAUAUUGGACAAUGGGGGCAACCCUGAUCCAGCAAUGCCGCGUGUGUGAAGAAGGCCUGCGGGUUGUAAAGCACUUUCGUUGGGGAGGAGAGGCUCGAGUCGAAUAGGCGAGAGCGGAGACGUUACCCAAAGAAGAAGCACCGGCUAACUCUGUGCCAGCAGCCGCGGUAAUACAGAGGGUGCAAGCGUUAAUCGGAAUUACUGGGCGUAAAGGGCGCGUAGGUGGAAUAAUAAGUUGGAUGUGAAAUCCCCGGGCUUAACCUGGGAACGCCAUCCAAAACUGUUAAUCUAGAGUAUAGUAGAGGGAAGUGGAAUUUCCGGUGUAGCGGUGAAAUGCGUAGAUAUCGGAAGGAACACCAGUGGCGAAGGCGGCUUCCUGGACUAAUACUGACACU